CGCGGCCUAUCAGCUUGUUGGUGAGGUUAUGGCUUACCAAGGCGACGACGGGUAGCCGGCCUGAGAGGGUGUCCGGCCACACUGGGACUGAGAUACGGCCCAGACUCCUACGGGAGGCAGCAGUGGGGAAUAUUGCACAAUGGGCGCAAGCCUGAUGCAGCGACGCCGCGUGAGGGAUGACGGCCUUCGGGUUGUAAACCUCUUUCAGUACAGACGAAGCGUAAGUGACGGUAUGUACAGAAGAAGCACCGGCCAACUACGUGCCAGCAGCCGCGGUAAUACGUAGGGUGCGAGCGUUGUCCGGAAUUACUGGGCGUAAAGAGCUCGUAGGUGGUUUGUCGCGUUGUUCGUGAAAACUCACAGCUUAACUGUGGGCGUGCGGGCGAUACGGGCAGACUGGAGUACUGCAGGGGAGACUGGAAUUCCUGGUGUAGCGGUGGAAUGCGCAGAUAUCAGGAGGAACACCGGUGGCGAAGGCGGGUCUCUGGGCAGUAACUGACGCUGAGGAGCGAAAGCGUGGGGAGCGAACAGGAUUAGAUACCCUGGUAGUCCACGCCGUAAACGGUGGGUACUAGGUGUGGGUUUCCUUCCUUGGGAUCCGUGCCGUAGCUAACGCAUUAAGUACCCCGCCUGGGGAGUACGG
rnacentral:rRNA from 1 species